rnacentral:lncRNA from 1 species
CCUUCCCUAUGGGCGGGGUGGGGUGGCCGCCCCAGCUAUCGGCGCCGUAGAAGCAGACCCCAAGACCUCAUCUUCGCCGUUCUUCUCUAUCUCCGGCGAGCGGCGAUGAACCACGACGACGCAAGGUGAGCGAGCGGCAUGAACAACGCGAGGACAAUGCAGUAUUAGCUAAUUCUUGAUGGGCUUUAUUAUUUUGUUCAGCCCACUCCCAGCUCCCGUGUGACUCUACCGCCGCUAUCCCACCCGGCACCGGCUUCCUCACGACUUCGCCAGGCGCGGCGCCGCAUCGCUCCUCUGUGGCUCCGCCUCGCUCGCUUCCUCGACCACCGCCCAGCCUAGCCACGAGGUCGUCGGGUGCGCCCGCUGCCCGACUAGGCGCCGAGCAAGGCAGCAGCCAGCAAGCUCGUGCUCGUGGAGAUGGAGGGAGGAGGCCAAGGAGGCAACGGAAGAGGGGAGGAGGAGCUGGUGCCUGGUAUUGAGGGGUCUGGGGCUGGCCAUGGUCGCGGUAGCGAACAGGUUAGCGCCGGCGGAGGAGCAAGCGCUCCUGCAGCUCCACCAACAUCUGGAUUCCACCGAGGCCGAGGUUCAAGCCUUCAAGGGGCGUCCCCAGGAGUGGCAUUGGCAAGAAAAAUGGUAUUAAAUCAUUACUUCGUUAUUAAUUUAGCAUCUCUUCUCUCAAAAAUUAAUUUAGCAUCUCAAAUUAUUAGCAACUUAUAAAUUCUAUUUUGACAAGUAAUUUUAUGCAGACUUGAAGAGUUAUUUUCCAACUUUGAGUAUUGGUUCGAGUUCAAUGUGAUAAUA